rnacentral:rRNA from 1 species
UGAGGAAUUUUGCGCAAUGGGCGAAAGCCUGACGCAGCGACGCCGCGUGAACGAUGAAGUCCUUCGGGAUGUAAAGUUCUGUCAGCAGGGACAAUGAUGAUGGUACCUGCAGAGGAAGGCCCGGCAAACUAUGUGCCAGCAGCCGCGGUAAUACAUAGGGGUCAAGCGUUGUCCGGAUUUACUGGGCGUAAAGGGCUCGUAGGCGGCGAGACAAGUCAGAAUUUAAAGGCAAGAGCUCAACUCUUGUUCGGUUCUGAAACUAUCUUGCUUGAGAUUGGGAGAGGAAGACGGAAUUAACAGUGUAGCGGUGAAAUGCGUAGAUAUUGUUAAGAACACCGUGGCGAAGGCGGUCUUCUGGCCAAAUCUGACGCUGAGGAGCGAAAGCGUGGGAGCAAACAGG